AUGAGUAUGUGCGGGAGAAGCAAGUGGAGCGAUGUAUAGAAUGGGUAGGGCCAUACUGAAGGCGGAGAGGGAGACCUUGACAAGCAUCCGGGGAGGGGCGUGUCAACUCCCGUGGACCAAGGAGAUAUCGCUGGAGAGGGAUGAUGGAAGUGAGCUCAGAGAGGCCAAGCAAGUCACCCACGUUCACACCACUGAAAAGUACCAGUUUCUAUCCAGAGGGCCAGCUCAUCCUUGGCUGUACCGAAACCAUAGAAAGGAGUGAGCACCCGUCAUGGAGGUGAGCGUCCACUGUGGUCUGGAUGUCUGCCACUUAGCAGGUGGCAACAGAGAGAAGCAACAGAGGAAAAAAAGCUUCAAGAAAUGGUGCCAGAAGUUUCUAACACUGUAAUUUGCAGAAUUUCUCCAUCUUCUUCAUCUCUAGCUUCCCUGUAUGGAUAAUGGGGAUAACAUUCAUAGGACAUUGUGAAUUAAAAGGCAACAAAUUUAGAAAACGCUUUGAAUAUUUUAUAUGUCACCAUCAUCACCAUCACCACCUCCAUAAUUACCAUCACUGAUAAUGCAGAAUAUUCUGGAAGCUAAAUAUCCUUAAGUUUGAGAAAUCACAUCUACCACAGAAAUCCUGAAUAUAUUCAACUAUGGAACUUGAUAAGAUGAAAUUACUGUACUUAAAAUCAUGAGAUUCCUCAACUUUGCAACAGUCACACCAAUUUCAUAUGUUCUUGGUGCUAGUGUUGGGCAGCAGAACUGGAAAGGGUCUUGGUAAAAGAGCUACUCCAUCAGGACGUACCAGGGCUGUCACUUCCAGGUUAGUGGAUAGAACUCUCCAACGCGUCAAGGGCUAGGCCCUGUGGCUUGCAAGGACAGAUGAGGAGAUAGUGUGUGGAGACGUGCUUCUGGAAACUCUGAAAGGUGAACAACGCAAUUCUGGAAUGAGCAGGAUCCACAGGACAUGCGGGCCGUGAAGAUACUGCACCUGUCAGUUUAGGUUCUGUGCCUCUCUGGAUCAAACCCAGGACCUCCUGCAUGCUCAGCAAACACUCCACCUCCACCGACGGAGCUACAGUGUUACCCAGCCCAAACUAUGCAGAGAGGAUGGAGCACAAGAAGCAGCCGUCACAAGCAUGGAGCUGCUACAGCCUGUAGCGUACGGGUGCCUGCUGCAUGCCAGGGGCAGACCGCCGUGGACAGCAUUUUCUUCCCAGCACCCCAGCAAGCCCUGCACUCCUGACCGCCAACUUCAACAUCUCUAAAGACCUCCUCAUCUCAGGGAUGAAUUCUGAGCUCACGUUCUGGACCACUGCCAGGAAAAAGGAAGCGGCGUUAGUUUAAAGCAUCACACAAAGGGCCGCAGGAAAGGGGCUGACUGGGCCAAGAAUGGUCAAGCAAGCUGGGUUACCAGCCCUUCCUUAGAAGGUAUGUCCUUAGAAGAUGAUAUUACUCUGAAGUAGGAGAGUCUAGAUGGAGCCAAGACAGAACAAAAAAGUGUUCUGGAGAGAGGUAACGUGAUUUUCAAAGGCCCUGCAUCAGGACAGGAUAUAACCUCUAUAAUGAAACAGAAGUCCAAUAUGAAAUGUGUGAGGUCUCUGAGGGGGACUGGAAGCAGGCCUAAGCCAGACUGCCAUGCAGGACCUUGUCAAAUGAACCAAGCAAUUUGUUUCCUCAUCAGCAAGCCACAGAUUUAAACGCUGAGGAGUUUAAACAGCAGAGGGCGUGGGCACCAUCAGCAGUGAGAAGGAAGGAUUGCAUUUUGAAAAGGUCACUAGGGCUUCUGUGGAAGAAGGAGGAAGGCACUUGGGAGACCCACAGACCAGUCAGCUGGGUUUUAGCCGUUCAGACUUGGUCCCUCAAGGUAAUGGCAGAGAGUAGUGGACACUGCGUGAGAGAAUGUUUUCAAUUAACACCACGGAUGAGUCUGUAACAAAACCAGGACAAGUAUCUAUCCUUAACCUUUGCCCUUUCUUGUAGCCAUUGACUUCCUUGUCAGUCAGGUAGGUCAUCAAGGAGAAAUGGUUUCCAGUCCUCCUCCAGACCCAGAUGCACCCAGAAACAUGCCCUGCUUUCGCGGGGGUGGGGGUUGGCGGUGUCCUACUCUGUGUUCUUCCAGCACCUUCUAGGCUGGACCCAGGCAGGGGGUGAGUUUCUUUCAUCCCUGCAGGAGCUUUGCAUGCUGGGAAAUGUAGUUCUGGAGCAGGAAACUGGGCCCUCUCCUGGCUGUGAGUCUGGCAGGCAGCCUGGUUGCCAUGGCAGCAGCUGGGCUAGAGCCACCGAACCAUUUCAUCCACAGUUCUACUGGCUCUGAGAGCUCCCAGCAAGAAAGCUUGGGCUCCAGGGAGGAGGGAGGGAAGAAGAAGGGAGAGGGAAGGAAGAAGAGGGAGGGAGGAUCUUUGAGGCCUUCCCCAGAGGCCUAGGCUAAGCUUACCACUCCAGAGGGCUUGAGGAUUGAGUAGAGAGAAGUCGCUGGCGCAGGCUCACAGCAGGAGUCAGAACGGUUGGGGCUGUUCGAGCCAGUCAGACCCUGUAGGUUCAGCUUUGUGAAUGCAGAAGCCCUUAGCCGACCAGAGAAAGGAGGAAGCAGCCAUCCUCCCCUGGGAAGCUCACCCUGAGUGGAAAGGCAAGAGAGUGCGAAAGCAUUACUUAGGAAGGAAAAGCCCUGCCCAUCUUUCCUCCAAAGCGUCCCUAGGACGCAUCCCCUUCUCUCUGCCCGUUGGCCGCAGUUCUAGUCCGUUCUCUCUCCCCGGAGAAGGCUUUCUAAAGCACAAAUCUGGCCCUGCCACCGCCCCCUCCCAAACACACACCCCUGCUUAAAAUUCUUCAAUGGCUCCCCUUUGCCCACGGCUGGACUAGGUCCAGGCCCUCUAGUACGAUCAUUCAUGGCCUUUCUGAUUCUGGCCUGCGGCUUGCUGUUCAACCAUCCUCCUGCCUCCCCAUCUGCUACGCCCUAUCAAGGUUUUCUCCUUCACCCCUGUCUCGGCACACAUGCUCCUCUCUGCAUGAUGUGUCCUUUCCUCCACGCCCCCACCUCAAAGCCCACCAAACUGAGCCAAAACAGCCCCUCCCCGUGCGGUUUCCCAAACUCUUCCAGCAGGGGAAGAAUGAAUGAAUGGCCCGCUGCUCUGAGCUCCCAGAGCACUUUGUACUUCCCUCUAAAGCACUUAUCACCCGUGUUGUGAGGAUUGUCUCGGUGGCUGCCUCUUCCCUUCCCUCUCCUCUGCAUCCGAGCCAUCCCAGGGUCCCCAGAGCCCAGCACAGUAUCUGGCACAAGGCAGGCCCUCAAUAAAUUGUGAGCGGGAUUGAAUUCAGUAAAGGAAGGCUUUUUGGGCCUUCGCCACACUCCCACUCUGCGUUCCUGGCCCUCUCCUCUCCCAGUUUCUCCCUGGGGGGCCCUGAGUACUUGAGCAUGGUGUACCGAGGAGCAGGAGCAGCGGAGCAGCCCCCCGCCCCCCAGGAGCAGCGCCCGGAAGAGGAGCAGCGCCCAGAGAAGGAGCAGCGCACUGCAGUUGACUGACUAGUGGACCUUGUGAAGAGAUGGUCUGUUCUGUUCUGGGCGGGGGUGUCCCAGGCACCUGCCUGUGGAGACUGUAAGACUCUUCGCGUCACUAUCUAUUAGGUGUCUUCUUGGGUGGAGCUGUAGUGAUGACAAAGUGAUUCAGAAACACUGUCUCUACUCUCAGGAAGCUUUGGUCUGAGGAUUACCCUCAAAUGCUUUGAAGAGGAAGUAUGACUGUUAAGUGCAGUGACUGGCCCGAUUUGAGAUGUCAGUGGUUUUUUUGCUCAUUGGCUAUUGGCUGUGGCCCUGUGGUGUGGCAGUUGGAACGGGUGGCGUACCAAGAGGCUACAGAGAAUGCUGCCUCCACCCUCUGCCAAGGGACUCAAAUCAGCAUUUGUUGACAUUUCUCGAGACACUCUUAGUGCUGGUGACAUUUCAGAGACCUGCUCUCUGACAGGGCUGGAGGAUGAAAACCUGACCCUGAAGCCUUUGCUCCAGACCCAGACCCACUGGAACAAACCUAGCCUUUCCUCCAGCACCUCCAACCAGUGUGGAGAUACCCAGAGGGCUCUGCAGCCAUCUUGGAAAUGCUGAGCGGAUUAAGACUGAAGCAGGAGUAGGCUCAGCCCUUUCCUUACCAAGCUUCCACAUCUGCCUCUGUGGGAUGGAACCCACCAUCCUUGCUGUCUUCAGAACAGGGUUGUAAACCCAUAGUGGUGAGAAAAGGAAAGUGCUCCAUCAACUAUGUGCUGUGGUCCGAGUGUGAAGUUCAGAUGGAGGCAUUAGGGCUGGAGUAGGGGUACAGGAUCAGCAGGUGCACAGGCUGGAGGAACCAGCCAGAUUCUGGGAAUUUCAUACAUUGUAGAGAGUCACUCGGUGGGCAGAUGUAGACCGCCUUGGCGGGUUACUCAGUCUAGGGGUGUAACCCGCAUGGCAGGGUCAGUAAUUCCAGGGUCCCAG